rnacentral:rRNA from 1 species
UGAACGCUGGCGGCGUGCCUAAUACAUGCAAGUCGAGCGAACAGACGAGGAGCUUGCUCCUCUGACGUUAGCGGCUGACGGGUGAGUAACACGUGGAUAACCUACCUAUAAGACUGGGAUAACUUCGGGAAACCGGAGCUAAUACCGGAUAAUAUAUUGAACCUCAUGGUUCAAUAGUGAAAGACGGUUUUGCUGUCACUUAUAGAUUGAUCCGCGCCGCAUUAGCUAGUUGGUAAGGUAACGGCUUACCAAGGCAACGAUGCGUAGCCGACCUGAGAGGGUGAUCGGACACACUGGAACUGAGACACGGUCCAGACUCCUACGGGAGGCAGCAGUAGGGAAUCUUCCGCAAUGGGCGAAAGCUUGACGGAGCAACGCCGCGUGAGUGAUGAAGGUCUUCGGAUCGUAAAACUCUGUUAUUAGGGAAGAACAAAUGUGUAAGUAACUAUGCACGUCUUGACGGUACCUAAUCAGAAAGCCACGGCUAACUACGUG